UCAGCAGGUAACCAAAGCUUUAGGUGUAAGUCUUUUAAACUUAUUAUAGAAUUUAACUCCUGAUGA
rnacentral:tRNA from 1 species